AGCUCCAAUAGCGUAUAUUAAAGUUGUUGCAGUUAAAAAGCUCGUAGUUGGAUUUCUGGUGGGAGGGAUACGUUCCGCAUUCAAUGUGGUAACUAUAUCCUCUCCGGCCAUCCUUGGGUGGAUCCUGUCUGGCAUUAAGUUGUCAGUCAGGGGAUGCCCAUCGUUUACUGUGAAAAAAUUAGAGUGUUCAAAGCAGGCUUAUGCCGUUGAAUAUAUUAGCAUGGAAUAAUAAGAUAGGGCCCUGGUACUAUUUUGUUGGUUUGCGUACCGAGGUAAUGAUUAAUAGGGACAGUUGGGGGUAUUUGUAUUCAGUAUUCAGUGGUGAAAUACUUAGACCUACGGAAGACAAACUACUGCGAAAGCAUUUACCAAGGAUGUUUUCAUUA
rnacentral:rRNA from 1 species